rnacentral:misc_RNA from 1 species
UACGGAGGGUGCGAGCGUUAUUCGGAAUUAUUGGGCGUAAAGGGCGCGUAGGCGGCUUGGCAAGUCAAAGGUGAAAUCCCUCGGCCCAACCGAGGAACUGCCUUUGAAACUGCUUGGCUUGAGUACAGGAGAGGAAGGUAGAAUUCCCGGUGUAGCGGUGAAAUGCGUAGAGAUCGGGAGGAACACCAACGGCGAAGGCGGCUCUCUGGGCCUCUCCUGACGCUGAGAUGCGAAAGCGUGGGUAGCAAACAGG